GAUGAACGCUGGCGGCGUGCUUAGCACAUGCAAGUCGAACGAAGCACUUAAGAUUGCUUCUUCGGAUGACGUCUUUUGUGACUUAGUGGCGGACGGGUGAGUAACGCGUGGGUAACCUGCCUCACACAGGGGGAUAACAGUUAGAAAUGACUGCUAAUACCGCAUAACCCGAUAGGAUCGCAUGAUCCAGACGGAAAAGAUUUAUCGGUGUGAGAUGGACCCGCGUCUGAUUAGCUAGUUGGUGAGGUAACGGCCCACCAAGGCGACGAACAGUAGCCGGGAUGAGAGGGUGAACGGCCACAUUGGGACUGAGACACGGCCCAAACUCCUACGGGAGGCAGCAGUGGGGAAUAUUGCACAAUGGGGGAAACCCUGAUGCAGCGACGCCGCGUGAGUGAAGAAGUAUUUCGGUAUGUAAAGCUCUAUCAGCAGGGAAGAAAAUGACGGUACCUGACUAAGAAGCCCCGGCUAACUACGUG
rnacentral:rRNA from 1 species